GGAAAUGAAAGGAGCGCUUUCUUUCAGGAGACCUGAGGUCAGCUGAGCCCCUCCCCAUCACCAUCACCAGCUACAGCUGCAGAAUUGCCCCAAGGCUGACUCCCGGAGACUUGUUUCCUAGGCAAAGUCAAAGAGCUGCCUGGUGUGUACUCCUAAUGGGGUCUCGGGACCCAUCAGAGCCUUAAUCCACUCUUUACCUCCACUAACACACAGAUGAGGAAAAAGGUGUGCUCCUUAGUUUCGACAUAGGAUGUUUUCCAGUAGCUUCCCUGACAAGGGAAGCAUGACAGAGGCACCUGGUGCUUCACAUCCCUGAGGUUCUCCCCUCUGCGCUAGACUCCUGCCCGGCUCCAGCACCUCCAAUAAGGAAACCAGCUGAUGCCGGGUGUGGAACACCCUACCCCGAAUAGCUUGGCAGAGGUAACACGAAGCUGAAAUCUCUGGAGAGUGGCAGGA
rnacentral:lncRNA from 1 species